GGAGGGUUCGCAUAGUGGUCUAGUGCACUACCUUGGAAAGGUAGCAAGGCUUAACGGCCUUCGGGAGUUCGAAUCUCCCAUCCUCCGCCA
rnacentral:tRNA from 1 species